UACGAUGGGGGCGAGCGUUGUUCGGAUUUACUGGGCGUAAAGGGCGCGCAGGCGGUUCUGUUUGUCGAGUGUGAAAGCCCCGGGCUCAACCUGGGAACUGCGCUCGAAACGGCGGAACUAGAGUUCGGGAGAGGAGAGUGGAAUUCCCAGUGUAGAGGUGAAAUUCGUAGAUAUUCGGAAGAACACCAGUGGCGAAGGCGACUUACUGGACGACCGUUGACGCUGAGGUGCGAAAGCGUGGGGAGCAAACAGG
rnacentral:rRNA from 1 species